rnacentral:rRNA from 1 species
GGAUCCAGACUUUGACUCUGGCUCAGGACGAACGCUGGCGGCGCGCCUAACACAUGCAAGUCGAACGAGAGAUGAGGAGCUUGCUCUUCUAAUCGAGUGGCGAACGGGUGAGUAACGCGUGAGGAACCUGCCUCAAAGAGGGGGACAACAGUUGGAAACGACUGCUAAUACCGCAUAAGCCCACGGCUCGGCAUCGAGCAGAGGGAAAAGGAGCAAUCCGCUUUGAGAUGGCCUCGCGUCCGAUUAGCUAGUUGGUGAGGUAACGGCCCACCAAGGCGACGAUCGGUAGCCGGACUGAGAGGUUGAACGGCCACAUUGGGACUGAGACACGGCCCAGACUCCUACGGGAGGCAGCAGUGGGGAAUAUUGCACAAUGGGGGAAACCCUGAUGCAGCGACGCCGCGUGGAGGAAGAAGGUCUUCGGAUUGUAAACUCCUGUUGUUGAGGAAGAUAAUGACGGUACUCAACAAGGAAGUGACGGCUAACUACGUGCCAGCAGCCGCGGUAAAACGUAGGUCACAAGCGUUGUCCGGAAUUACUGGGUGUAAAGGGAGCGCAGGCGGGAGAACAAGUUGGAAGUGAAAUCCAUGGGCUCAACCCAUGAACUGCUUUC